GAAUUACCUCCAUACUCCUCCAGAGUCUAAUCGGCCCACUCAUCGGAACAAGUCAGUCACUUCUCCUUUGUGACCUGUAGAAUCCCAUCUCACUCCGUUUCCAUUUCAAUUCCCUAUCUUUACAGGUAACCUUCCGCUAUGUUCAACUUCUGAUAGAAAGAAAGAUCUCUCUCUGUAAAGGUUUAAAAGUUUUAGUUUUUUGAAUUAUGGGUACUGAUUCGGCUUUGAAUUCCACAAAUCCUACACAAAGACCUACUCAAGAAGAAGACUCACAUAACUCAUCCA
rnacentral:misc_RNA from 1 species